rnacentral:lncRNA from 1 species
GUGAGUGUGUGUUUCCUUCCUUUUUUUCGUUUGCCUUAUGCCAGGUUUUUCUUUUUGUGGUAGAAUGAGAAAUUCACGGAGCUUGAAGGAUCCUCAGACGAUGAUCUGGCCCUUUCUUCUUUUCUCUUGCUGGGGAAUAUUUUCCUGAGCGUGCCUGAUGUUUCCUUGGGUUGAGUUUUUUGGGGACCGGGUACUGCCAGGGAUGGAAGGAGAGAGGAGCCAAGCCAGGGUGCACCCACAUGGAGCCACUUGGAUCUGUCAGGUGUCAUCAGGAGGUUGAGGGCUGGCUCCUGGGUGAUAUGUUGGGAACAGCUGCUGUCUGCACUCUGGGACGUGUGGCCUUCUGUUGCCUUUCUGAAGCUCUCUACCAGUGUUUUGUAAUGAAUGCUACUGUAUGUCUGCCUGGAACUCUUCUGCUCUGGCUUCAGCGCAUUCUGUCCAUG